rnacentral:lncRNA from 1 species
UUUUGUGGAUUAACCAGCAUGCCCUAGCAUCAAAACCAGAACUGCCAUGCCCAUUCCACAAACAGACACUAGUACAGGUACCACGAGGGGCUAUCCUACUUUAGGAACAGUAAAGGACGAUCCCUUGUUCUGCACUGCAGAAAGAUCACAAAAACAAAUAACAAGUAACAGGUCUAACAUAGUCGCCACCAACGCGACCUGCAGGCAGGUCCAACGACCCCCACAGCAAAGACGGUCAAAUCUCGGGUGGCUUUCCCAGUGAACAGUUGCAUCUCUCCCGGCCGCAAACAGUAUCAUCCUUCAGUGUCUUCCCCUUCGUCAACCUCCUCGCAGUAACCUUCUCACCAGUAACCCAAACCCAGAACCGAGAUUUCGAGCAAUAGAGCCGUCAGAUCUCAGUCCCGGAGUGCUUCCCAAAACCACCAGAGGUUUCAACCACCUUAACGGCUUCAGUACUCGGGUUGGCGGUCGUUCCUCCAGUUCCCAGAGCUGGGUCCUCCACGGCCACCGUAGCCGCCACCACCACCGCCUCCGUAGCCUCCACCACGGCUUCCUCCAUAACCACUACCUUCACGGUCACCUCCUCCACGGCUUCCACCGUAACCUCCUCCAUAGCCACCUCCUCCUUGCUCUCUGCGGCCGUAGCCACCACCGCCGCCACCGCCACCACCGCCUCCACCACGAG